rnacentral:rRNA from 1 species
UGCUGGAGGUAUCAGAAGUGCGAAUGCUGACAUAAGUAACGAUAAAGCGGGUGAAAAGCCCGCUCGCCGGAAGACCAAGGGUUCCUGUCCAACGUUAAUCGGGGCAGGGUGAGUCGACCCCUAAGGCGAGGCCGAAAGGCGUAGUCGAUGGGAAACAGGUUAAUAUUCCUGUACUUGGUGUUACUGCGAAGGGGGGACGGAGAAGGCUAUGUUAGCCGGGCGACGGUUGUCCCGGUUUAAGCAUGUAGGCUGGUUAUCCAGGCAAAUCCGGAUAAUCAAGGCUGAGGUGUGAUGACGAGGCACUACGGUGCUGAAGUAACAAAUGCCCUGCUUCCAGGAAAAGCCUCUAAGCAUCAGGUAACAU